rnacentral:tRNA from 1 species
GGGGAUUUAGCUCAGUGGUAGAGCGCUUGCCUAGCAAGGCCCUGGGUUCGGUCCCCAGCUCCA